UCAGGUCGCCUUCUCCACUGGAGAGGGCGGCCAGAUCUGGUCGUCCUCUCCACAGUCCUCUCCGAUGAGAGGACGACCAGAUCUGGCCGCCCUCUCCAGUGGAGAAGGCGACCGGA
rnacentral:pre_miRNA from 1 species